UACGUAGGGGGCAAGCGUUGUCCGGAUUUAUUGGGCGUAAAGAGCGUGUAGGCGGCCAUGUAGGUCCGUUGUGAAAACUCGAGGCUCAACCUCGAGAGGUCGGUGGAAACCGUAUGGCUAGAGUCCGGAAGAGGAGAGUGGAAUUCCCGGUGUAGCGGUGAAAUGCGCAGAUAUCGGGAAGAACACCCGUGGCGAAGGCGGCUCUCUGGGACGGUACUGACGCUGAGACGCGAAAGCGUGGGGAGCGAACAGG
rnacentral:rRNA from 1 species